CCAUUCAUUAAUAAAACAACUCUAUUUAAACAUUUUGAUUGCUCUUGAAUUAAAGAAGAUGGUGAUCUAGAUUAGCCCUCCAUGUUCCGCAAUUACAUUCAUAUAUAACUUGUUAAACCAACCCCUACAAUAGGGAAAUAUGGGAGUUUACAGGAAAAUAGGACACUACAAUUGGAGGGUCCGGCCGCCUCUGUUUACUACUUGCUGCUGGAGGAGAAUUCGAGUUGUUGCUGCUUUGUUUCACUGCCGACGACAUCUUGCUAUUUGAGUGUUCCUCAUCGUCGGCAACCGCUGCUGGCGCCGAGAAACAACAGAAAAUGGAAGAUGCCAUGCUUUGCUUAGUAAAACUAAGUGGAAAUGUGUGUGCUUGUGUAAGUUGUGUCUGUUUGAUUGGUUUAAGUUCCAUUUUAUAACAUCAUUAGACUUGCGCUGCAAGCUUUACCUAACAUUAUAUUAAUGGCCGACUUUUUAUUUAUUUAUUCUCUGAUGGCCGACAAGACCAACACUUCAGUUGACUGGCUUGGCGUUUUGUAG
rnacentral:lncRNA from 1 species